GUCUUCAGCCAUACCACACUGAGUGACCCCAGUCUUAUCCCAUCUCAGAAACUAAGCAGAUUCUAGCCCAGUCAGUACUUGGAUGGCAGAUUGCCUGAAAAUAUUGGAUGUCGUAGGCU
rnacentral:rRNA from 1 species